CACUGGAAAACAAAAUCAUAGGUAAGGGGUAACCAGUGUUCAGUGGCCAUCCUAGAAGUCCUUACCAGAGGCCUCUGCAGCUUACCUGGGUCCUUUGAAGUCAAAUGGAUGCAGAAUUUAAAGUACUGUGUGUGAGAGCUUCUGAUUGACAAAACCAGUUAUAGAACGAAUCCUGUGAUAUCACUAAGUGGCAGAAUCACUGACUACAGACAAACUUUCUAACAACACUGCUCCCUGACAUCUGGAGAGAGCGAGACAUUGGGGUUGCUGUUAAAGAAGUACUAAGUCUCAGUUAUGUAAGAUGAAAAGUUCUAGAGAUCUACUGUACAAUACUGUGAUACUGUAUUUUGCACUUAAAAGUUGUGAGAUGACAUUUCUCAAGGUAACUGUUCUUACCACCCCACCACCAUAACAAAAAAAUCAAGUCCAUAUUCUUAAUUAGCCAUCAUUCUAAAAUAAUUAAGAACAAAAUAAUCAGUCAAAAUCAGUAAUGAACUAGAAAGAGGUAAAUUAAAAAAUAUUCAUUUUAAUGUGAUCCAGAACUUAGUUAUCUGAUUCAUGUAAUUUUCCACAUGAGCUUCUUUAUUAUGGCAUUUAAAAUUAUGAAUUUUCAGAGCUGUGAGCAAAGAUCCUCUCUCAGGGGAAAAUAUACUUCUGUCUGCUGCAGAGGCCCUUGCAAUUUGUACACCGUCAUUUCUAUUUCCUCUAUUAUACUGUUUCUACUCA